rnacentral:rRNA from 1 species
CUGCACGAAUGGCGUAACGAUGGCGGCGCUGUCUCCACCCGAGACUCAGUGAAAUUGAAAUCGCUGUGAAGAUGCAGUGUAUCCGCGGCUAGACGGAAAGACCCCGUGAACCUUUACUAUAGCUUUGCACUGGACUUUGAAUUUGCUUGUGUAGGAUAGGUGGGAGGCUUUGAAGCGUGGACGCCAGUUCGCGUGGAGCCAACCUUGAAAUACCACCCUGGUAAUUUCGGAGUUCUAACCUCGAUCGGUAUAUCCCGGUCAGGGACAAUGUAUGGUGGGUAGUUUGACUGGGGCGGUCUCCUCCUAAAGAGUAACGGAGGAGUACGAAGGUGCGCUCAGACCGGUCGGAAAUCGGUCGUAGAGUAUAAAGGCAAAAGCGCGCUUGACUGCGAGACAGACACGUCGAGCAGGUACGAAAGUAGGUCUUAUUGAUCCGGUGGUUCUGUAUGGAAGGGCCAUCGCUCAACGGAUAAAAGGUACUCCGGGGAUAACAGGCUGAUACCGCCCAAGAGUUCAUAUCGACGGCGGUGUUUGGCACCUCGAUGUCGGCUCAUCACAUCCUGGGGCUGAAGCCGGUCCCAAGGGUAUGGCUGUUCGCCAUUUAAAGAGGUACGCGAGCUGGGUUUAGAACGUCGUGAGACAGUUCGGUCC